rnacentral:rRNA from 1 species
UACGGAGGGUGCGAGCGUUGUCCGGAAUCACUGGGCGUAAAGGGCGCGUAGGCGGCCUGAUAAGUAGGGGGUGAAAUCCUGCGGCUUAACCGCAGGGCUGCCUUCUAAACUGUCAGGCUCGAGCACAGUAGAGGCAGGUGGAAUUCCCGGUGUAGUGGUGAAAUGCGUAGAUAUCGGGAGGAACACCAGUGGCGAAGGCGACUACCUGGCCUGUUCUUGACGCUGAGGCGCGAAAGCUAGGGGAGCAAACGGG